UCUACUUUUCACAAUUUGCGCUUAACAUUCGCUCAAAAUUUUCAGUUCCCUCUACUCUCAUUCUUUUCCUUCUUUUUCUCAACUUAGGGUUAAGAGAUCAUUUUUAUUUUCAUCCAUCAAAUUCCUCCACAUCUAACAACAACCUUCUCGUUGCUGACAAACCGUCUUGUUCGCAAAUUGGGGUUUUCAUUAUUCACCAGGAAAACAUCAACUUCCUAGAUUCUAAACUUGAUUUCAGAUUACUCCCUUCGCACUCGAGCUUGGUUUCACAAGAAGUUCCAGAUCAUAUGGACUGGAAGAUGUUGUGACGUUGUCAAUUAUGGACUUGCAACUUCCAUCUUCCAAGAACCAACCUUAGCUCAGUUGGUACAGAGGAUUGUACAUGAACUGGCCUAAGCUGAUUUGCUAAUUUCCGGGGUGGAUGAUUUUCUGGGUAUUCUCAAGUCAGAUUAUGAUAGUGCCUAGUUUGUUACAGAUAACUCUUUAUUUGGCAAACGGUGGAGUUGGACUUAUUUUGGGAAGCACACGACGUUAUCGAUUUAUACGGAGUACUAUAUUAGUUGUUUUGUUGUUACGUUGUAGUAGUAAAUUAGUUAUUUAUCUUGUCAUCUACAGAUUAUUAGACAACAUUUUGUUAAGUUCUUAAGAUUAUUAGACAAUUAUAUAUCACAUAUGUAAUGACUUAUGACUUACUCUAUAUGAGUAUUUAUUUAUAAUAUUAUUUUUAUCUU